rnacentral:rRNA from 1 species
GCUUAUCACCAUUCCAGAUUGAAUAAUCCGAUCUCAUCUGAUCUCGGAAGUCAAGCAAUCUCGGGCUUGGUUAGUACUUGGAUGGGUGACCGCUUGGGGAUACAAAGUGUGAUAAGCA